ACGUGUCAGGAAGCAAAAUUAAAAAUAUUCAUAAAUUUGUUAAUUGUUUGCGUUUUAUUUCGUUUUGCACCCUUAACCACGUCAGCAUGAAAUGGGUGAAUUGAAGGUUUUGGAACAGACACAUCCCCUUCUAAUGGCGACAGAAGUUAUGAAUACAAAAGGUAAUCUAGUGACGGACACCGAGAAUGUGCAAGGAAUUUGGACAACUUUUACAGUUUCGACGGCGCUACUUUGGAUUGCAAAUUGUCCCGUCAACAAUAAUUAAUAAAAGUGUGACUGAAGUAAUAAACUCGUCUUCUCUUAAUACGGAUCUCCCCAUAGGAUUUUCGUCGUUCUACACAGAAAAAAUAUAGACCAAUAUUUGAGCGAUAGAAUAUGGUAUUGACCUAUAAAAAACGUUUCAAACAAGGUGUUAAUUACUUUAAUUAUUCUUGACAUACAAAUUAAAUUUUCAUUUGUAUCGCAGCAUGUGAUUGGUAAACAAGGCAUAUAUUGAACAUAUUUUUAAUUAGAUUAUAUGGACUUGGAAAACAGCGCUGAGGACAGAAUAUAACAUGUGUGGAUCUAGAUCUCUUGGUAUUGUGUACCAUGUCCCGAUAAUGAAGUGAUACUCAUAUUGGAAACGCAAAUUUUUCCUGUUCGUAUUGAAGUGAGGGAUCAUUAAAUAAAAAACUAUAAUUAUUUUCAAGCAAUAUUUUUCAUGUUUUAUACG